AAGGAGGAAGUUUUUUUGUCCUCUCUUCUCUAAAGCUUGAAAUAUUUGCUUCGGUACAUCAAUGAGUGCCAACACAAAUCUCCAUCCUGUCAGCUACCUUCUCUACAAGCCCUGUGAGGCAAAUUGGCUAUGUAUGGAAAAGAUGGAAAAUGAGAUUUCGAAAAUUGUUUAAAGAGGAAGAUUUGGAAGUCCUUGGGUCACAGCUGAAAAAAGUCUCACAGAAGAAUCCUUAUGACUGUGUUUGACACAGGCAAGGGAGAUGACAAGUCAGAAUUCACGUUUUCUAGGAGUUUUCGGAAAGUGAUGUCUGAACUAUCAUAAAAGAGUUUGAGGAAUGCUUAGAUACCAGUUACUGCUUGUUGCAACCACUGAGUGGUCUGACAGAAAACACCACGGACUCCACCAACGCAUGACAUUCUGGCUGUGUGAGACUCAGUAUUCGAGAUCAUCGUCUUAACUCCUACUGGAGCACAAGUAUCAUGUGAACUGAUACCUAAUGAAUAUUUAUCCACCUGCUUGAGUUCUAACAUCCUUAACUUGAAUGCACGACAAAACAUUUUACUCUUCAUGAGGGAAACCACUUUCUCCUUCCUGGAAAGACUUUUGUUAGCAGAUCAGUUUCUCUGGAUAGAGGCCAAUGAUGAGUAAUGUUCCUCAGAAGACUGGAAUUGUUUAAUAUCUUUGUUAAUGAGGUAAAUAGGAUCAAGUACACUCUCAGAAAGUUUGUGAAUGGCACUAAGCUGAGUGUUGCAGCUGAGAUGACAGAAGGGCUGUCGUCCAAGAGGACCCAGACAAGCUUGAUAGGUGAGCACACAUGAACAACAUGAAGCUUAACAAGACCCAGUGCAAGGUUUUGCAGCUGGGUCUGGGCAAUCUUAAACACAAAUACAGGCUGGGCAGAGGCUGGAUGAAGAACAGUCCCAUGGAUAUGGACUUGGGGAUACCAGUGGAUGAAAAAUUGGGCACAAGCCAGCAGUGCACUCUGCCAGCCCAGAAAGUCAACUGUGUCCUAUGCUGCAGAUUAGACAUUUAGAAGAGAACUUUCACUAUGAGUGUGACAAGGCACUAGCAUAGGCUGCCCAGAGGAGCUGUGGAUGCUCUGUCGCUGGAGCCAGGUUGGAUGGAGUGCUAGGCAAUCUGAUCUACUGGGUGGCAGCCCUGCCCACAGUAGGGGAUUCGGAACUACACGGUCUUUAGUGUCCCUUCCAACCCAAAUCAUUCUACAUCUAUGAUUCUAGCAUAGAUGGGAUACUACUGGGAUACAGUGGCAGCAUGAGAGCACUUUUACUACAAUCAGAUCUGGAAUCAUCACUACAUACUUACAUACUCUGAAAUAAGCAAUAAUUCAUUACCCUAACUCACUCCAGUAUGUUGCCUCUGCACCCUAGAAGUUGAAGGGGAAGACCAAGACAGGUAUUCUGUUCUUUUGUAGUCCAUAAUUGGCACAUUAAAGUUAAAUUCGGUGUUAUAUUGAAAAAUAGCCCUGUUUCUGCUGCAGUGCUGCUACACAGCAUGAUAAAGCAGUAGCUCAAACAUCAUCCGAUAAAUGUAUGCUCACUGUAUUGGCUGUCAACCAGGGUGUUGGACUGUCUUAUUCAUCUUCUAAAUUUAUAUCAGAGAUAAAUAAAUAAAUAAAUAAACAAACAAA